rnacentral:tRNA from 1 species
GCUGAGGUGGCAGAGCCCGGAUAUAAUGCAAAAGACCUAAGCCCUUUCAAACAGAGGUUCAACUCCUCUCCUCAGCU